rnacentral:rRNA from 1 species
UACGUAGGGGGCUAGCGUUGUCCGGAAUCAUUGGGCGUAAAGCGCGCGUAGGCGGCCCAGUAAGUCCGUUGUAAAAGUCAAAGGCUCAACCUUUGAAAGCCGAUGGAUACUGCUGGGCUAGAGUCCGGAAGAGGCGAGUGGAAUUCCUGGUGUAGCGGUGAAAUGCGUAGAUAUCAGGAGGAAUACCGGUGGCGAAAGCGACUCUCUGGACGGCAACUGACGCUGAGGCACGAAAGCGUGGGGAGCAAACAGG